rnacentral:rRNA from 1 species
AGCGAACGCUGGCGGCAGGCCUAACACAUGCCAGUCGAACGAACCUUUCGGGGUUAGUGGCGGACGGGUGAGUAACACGUGGGAACGUGCCUUUAGGUUCGGAAUAACUCAGGGAAACUUGUGCUAAUACCGAAUGUGCCCUUCGGGGGAAAGAUUUAUCGCCUUUAGAGCGGCCGCGUCUGAUUAGCUAGUUGGUUGAGGUAAUGGCUCACCACGGCGACGAUCAGUAGCUGGUCUGAGAGGAUGAUCAGCCACAUUGGGACUGAGACACGGCCCAAACUCCUACGGGAGGCAGCAGUGGGGAAUCUUGCGCAAUGGGCGAAAGCCUGACGCAGCCAUGCCGCGUGAAUGAUGAAGGUCUUAGGAUUGUAAAAUUCUUUCAACGGGGACGAUAAUGACGGUACCCGGAGAAGAAGCCCCGGCUAACUUCGUG